rnacentral:rRNA from 1 species
AUUGAACGCUGGCGGCAUGCUUUACACAUGCAAGUCGAACGGUAACAGGCCGCAAGGUGCUGACGAGUGGCGAACGGGUGCGUAAUGCAACGGAACGUGCCCAGUCGUUGGGGGAAACUACUCGAAAGAGGAGCUAAUACCGCAUACGGGCUAUGGAUGAAAGCGGGGGACCGUAAGGCCGCACGCGAUUUGUGCGGCCGCUUACAGAUUAGGUAGUUGGUGGGGUAAAGGCUCACCAAGCCAACGAUCUGUAGCUGGUCUGAGAGUACAACCGGCCACACUGGGACUGAGACACGGCCCAGACUCCUACGGGAGGCAGCAGUGGGGAAUUUUGGACAAUGGGCGAAAGCCUGAUCCAGCAAUGCCGCGUGAAUGAAGAAGGCCUUCGGGUUGUAAAAUGCUUUUGUACGGAACGAACCGGCUCUGGUUAAACCCCGCGGGUAAUGACGGUACCGUAAGAAUAAGCACCGGCUAACUACGUG